rnacentral:rRNA from 1 species
UACGUGGGUGGCAAGCGUUGUCCGGAAUUAUUGGGCGUAAAGCGCGCGCAGGCGGUCCUUUAAGUCUGAUGUGAAAGCCCACGGCUCAACCGUGGAGGGUCAUUGGAAACUGGGGGACUUGAGUACAGAAGAGGAAAGCGGAAUUCCACGUGUAGCGGUGAAAUGCGUAGAGAUGUGGAGGAACACCAGUGGCGAAGGCGGCUCUCUGGGACGGUACUGACGCUGAGACGCGAAAGCGUGGGGAGCGAACAGG